UACGGAGGGGGCUAGCGUUGUUCGGAAUCACUGGGCGUAAAGGGCGCGUAGGCGGCCCCUUCUUGUCGCGUGUGAAAGCCCCGGGCUCAACCUGGGAAUGGCGCGCGAGACGGGGGGGCUGGAGUUCGGGAGAGGAGCGUGGAAUUCCCAGUGUAGAGGUGAAAUUCGUAGAUAUUGGGAAGAACACCAGUGGCGAAGGCGGCUCACUGG
rnacentral:rRNA from 1 species